AUCUGAUAAUUUUUCACUGAAAAAUACAAUUUUUUUUAUAUCAAAAUAAGUUUUAUCAAUGAAGAAUUCGAACUUUUUACGUCAUCAAUUAAAUUGGACUAAGAUUACAAUAACAUCGGGAUCGAAGUCGGGCUCGAUGAACAAUUAAUUUUAACAACACCGAAAUUCAAAAAUAUCGAAUGCCAAGUUCAUCAUGAUCAUGUUGAUGUUCCACAGAAGGAAAGUUGGAACGAGUGCCACGAACAGGGGGAUCAUGGUCAGCUUGGGAUGGAAGAAGAUGACGACAUUUUUAAGACCGUUGCUGCAUUGCCUGAGAUGAUUUUCACAGCCCUGGCCUUUUAUAAAGUGCAUAUACAUGUAGAUGCUUAACCAAUCAGUCACUAGGCUUGUGAAUAUGGAGUCCGGAUGCUCACAAGAUUUAGGACAAGAACUGUAUAAAAAAAUGAAAUUGUGCAAGAAAGUUUGAAGUGUCUGGUGGAAUGAUCAACAUCGAACUUGCUGAGUUUUCAUACUAAAAGUGAAUCCGUUGGUGACGCCAAUUAUCUGUCAACCCUCUAUUGCAAAUUUCAUGGGAUAUCUGAGGAUGUGAUUCUAGCAACAUGUCAGAAGUUUUGUAUCUUCCAUAAUUGGGAUCUUUGGCACGUACAUUGGUGGAAAAUAGCAAAUGUUCAUUUUAUGGGAUCUUUGUAUCAAUGUAGUUGUGUACUACGUAUAUUUUUGCAUUUAAUACAUGCGUUUGUCACUCUAGUCACUAACUUUGUACAGUAAAUGUACAUGGGCUACUGCCACUUUAUUGUAAAUGUAUAUACUGUUGAGGUUUCAAUGACCUCUCCCAAUCCUUGGCCAAUGUCAUUUAAUGAAUCUAACCUCUUAUUUAAAAGAAAAUGCAUACUUUAGUUUACUACAUACAUGUAUAUCAUAAUUUGACUAUCACUAAUUUAACCAAGGCAA